UACAGAGGUCUCAAGCGUUGUUCGGAUUCAUUGGGCGUAAAGGGCGCGUAGGCGGCGGGGUAAGUCGGGUGUGAAAUCUCAGAGCUCAACUCUGAAACUGCACUCGAUACUGCUCUGCUUGAGGACUGGAGAGGAGACUGGAAUUCACGGUGUAGCAGUGAAAUGCGUAGAUAUCGUGAGGAAGACCAGUGGCGAAGGCGGGUCUCUGGACAGUUCCUGACGCUGAGGCGCGAAGGCCAGGGGAGCAAACGGGG
rnacentral:rRNA from 1 species